ACUGCAGGGCCCGCCGGAUUGGGGGGCACGGGGAGGACGGGGCCCAGGGGGCAGCUGGGCAGCAGGGCUUCGGGGGUGCCCACGCUUGCUGGCGAUCUCUCCACAGUACGACUGGUGCUCCUGGAUCCCCAAUGCGCCCCCAACCAUGCGAGCCCCGCCGCCGACUGCCAAGGGCGUGGUGACCAUUGAGCAGAUCGUGGACACGCUGCCCGACCGCGGCCGCUCCUGCUGGCAUCUGGGUGUUCUGAGCAGAGUGGCACUCCUGUACAUUUUUUUGCAUUUCUUUGUUUUUUUGUAGAUCUCUUUAUUCCUGCAUCUCUUUCUGUAUUCCAUCUUUUCUUUUUUUAUUCUUUCUUUUCUACUCUUUCGCUUCUCUGAGUUCCCAUUCUCAUCUUUUUGUUCUCAUGAUCUCUGUUUUUCGCUGAAUGCAUGUAGUAU
rnacentral:lncRNA from 1 species